AUCACGAUCGACUAAAAGGAAAGUCGCUCCAGAUAGGGGGGAUAUUGGUUCAAAUCCAAUUCGUGAGC
rnacentral:tRNA from 1 species